GAUCGCGGGCCCCAGCAGGACCUGAAGUAGUCCAUCACCGCGGCCAGCAUCCUUCAUCUCACACUCUCCUCCUCCUCCACGCAGUUUCUUGAUGGCAUCACGAGACACAAGCUAUCUCUCUUAUCUCCACCGUAUUGCUCAACUUAUUCCACCUACUAUCUGCAAUUCAGAGCCAAAAAAAAAAAACAAUCAAUAAGAAGUUUGUGCUCGGAUUCUUGGAAUCUAUCGGGCAAGUGCCGCAGAUCUGGACAGCUAUCAAACCCAGGCACACGAACAGCAAGGAUUGUGCCUCAACUGGUGGCUGCUCUCCGGGAUCGAAGAGAAUCAAGCAAGAAAUUUGUACCCCCAAAAAAAAAAUACUUUUUUCCCUAUAGCCCUCCUCUCCUUUGCUCUCUCUCAGUAGCUCUGCCAAAUCUUGAAGACUUGUUGAAGAAACAGCUCAGAGGUGUCCUCUCUCUCUCUCUCUCUCUCUCUCUCUCUCUCUCUCUCUCUCUCUCUCUCUCAUGCAGAGAACUCCACGCCCAGGUGAGCACAAGCACAAAUCCAAGGAGACAAAAAACCCAUUAAAAGAAGCAGCAAGAGAGAGCUCAGGGCCAGCAAGGCAGGGCUCAGAGAUGGGCUCUACCAAUCCUAAAUUGU
rnacentral:sRNA from 1 species